AUAAGUAGGUGGCGAGCGUUGUCCGGAAUUACUGGGCGUAAAGGGCGUGUAGGCGGUCUUGCAAGUCAGAAGUGAAAUUCCUGAGCUCAACUCGGGCGCUGCUUCUGAAACUGCAGGACUUGAGUGCUGGAGGGGAUAGCGGAAUUCCUAGUGGAGCGGUAAAAUGCGCAGAAAUAAGGAAGAACACCGGUGGCGAAGGCGGCUAUCUGGACAGUAAAUGAGGAUGAGGCGCGAAAGCGUGGGGAGCAAACAGGAUUGUAUCCCCGGGUUGUCCAUGCCGUACACAGUGGGCGCUAGGUGUAGGGGUCUUCCAUGCCUUCUGUUCCGUAGCUAACGGAUUAAGCGCCCCACCUGGGGAGUACGGUCGCAAGAUUAAAACUUAAAGGAAUUGGCGGGG
rnacentral:rRNA from 1 species